UUCGUAGGGGGCAAGCGUUGUCCGGAAUCAUUGGGCGUAAAGAGCGCGUAGGCGGUCCGGUAAGUCCGCUCUGAAAGUCCGGGGCUCAACCCCGGGAGGCGGGCGGAUACUGUCGGGCUAGAGUCCGGAAGAGGAGAGUGGAAUUCCUGGUGUAGCGGUGAAAUGCGCAGAUAUCAGGAAGAACACCUAUGGCGAAGGCAGCUCUCUGGGACGGUACUGACGCUGAGACGCGAAAGCGUGGGGAGCGAACAGG
rnacentral:rRNA from 1 species